rnacentral:rRNA from 1 species
AAUGAACGUUGGCGGCGUGGAUUAGGCAUGCGAGUCGAGCGAGAACCGUAGCAAUACGGGGACAGCGGCGAAAGGGACAGUAACGGGUAGAUUAUCUGCCCUCAGGUUUGGGAUAGCUGCGGGAAACUGCAAGUAAUACCAAAUAAUAUCUCCGGAUCAAAGGUGUGAUUCCGCCUGAGGAUGAGUCUGCCUCCUAUUAGCUUGUUGGUGGGGUAACGGCCUACCAAGGCAUUGAUGGGUAGCGGGUGUGAGAGCACGACCCGCGUCAUUGGGACUGAGACACUGCCCAGACACCUACGGGUGGCUGCAGUCGAGAAUCUUCGGCAAUGGACGCAAGUCUGACCGAGCGACGCCGCGUGUGGGAUGAAGGCCUUCGGGUUGUAAACCACUGUCAGAGGGGAUGAAAUGCAGGUGGGUACCCCCAUUUGUUUGACAUAGCCUCAGAGGAAGCACGGGCUAAGUUCGUGCCAGCAGCCGCGGUAA